CUUGGUCAUUUAGAGGAAGUAAAAGUCGUAACAAGGUUUCCGUAGGUGAACCUGCGGAAGGAUCAUUAGUGAAUUUAGCGCAUCUGCUUUGCAGAGCGUGACCUCCACUUUCUAACUCUGUGCACUUAAUGGCGGAAGAGAUGAAAUAUGCUCUUCUGCGGCUCAUUUUAUAACACUAGUUAAAGAAUGUAACGAAAUAUCGAAACAAAAAAAAACUUUCAACAACGGAUCUCUUGGCUCUCGCAUCGAUGAAGAACGCAGCGAAAUGUGAUAAGUAAUGUGAAUUGCAGAAUUCAGUGAAUCAUCGAAUCUUUGAACGCACCUUGCGCUCCCUGGUAUUCCGGGGAGCAUGUCUGUUUGAGUGUCAUGAACUCUUCAACCCACCGGUUUCUUGUAAACUGGCUGGUGUUUGGUUUCUGAGUGUUGCUCGUCCUUGUGACUGAGCUCAUUCGUAAUAUAUGAGCAUCUCUAAUUCGAAUUCGGAUUGACUCAGUGUAAUAGACUAUUCGCUGAGGACACACCUAGUGUGGCCGAAUAAGAUAAUUGUAGAAGCUUCUAACCCUUCUAGUCAUUUUAAGAUUAGACCUCAGAUCAGAUAGGACUACCCGCUGAACUUAAGCAUAUCAAUAAGCGGAGGAAAAGAAACUAACAAGGAUUCCCCUAGUAACGGCGAGUGAAGCGGGAAGAGCUCAAAUUUGUAAUCUGGCACUUUCAGUGUCCGAGUUGUAAUCUCGAGAAGUGUUUUCCGCGCCGGACCGCAUACAAGUCUGUUGGAAUACAGCGUCAUAGUGGUGAGAACCCCGUAACUGAUGCGGAUGCCUGGUGCUUUGUGAUACACUUUCGAAGAGUCGAGUUGUUUGGGAAU
rnacentral:sRNA from 1 species